CCUACGGGAGGCAGCAGUGAGGAAUAUUGGUCAAUGGACGAGAGUCUGAACCAGCCAAGUAGCGUGAAGGAUGACUGCCCUAUGGGUUGUAAACUUCUUUUAUAUGGGAAUAAAAUGUUCCACGUGUGGGAUUUUGUAUGUACCAUAUGAAUAAGGAUCGGCUAACUCCGUGCCAGCAGCCGCGGUAAUACGGAGGAUCCGAGCGUUAUCCGGAUUUAUUGGGUUUAAAGGGAGCGUAGGUGGAUUGUUAAGUCAGUUGUGAAAGUUUGCGGCUCAACCGUAAAAUUGCAGUUUAAACUGACAGUCUUGAGUACAGUAGAGGUGGGCGGAAUUCGUGGUGUAGCGGUGAAAUGCUUAGAUAUCACGAAGAACUCCGAUUGCGAAGGCAGUUCACUGGACUGCAACUGACACUGAGGCUCGAAAGUGUGGGUAUCAAACAGGAUUAGAUACCCGGGUAGUC
rnacentral:rRNA from 1 species